UACGAGGUGGCAAGCGUUGUCGGAUUUACUGGGUUUAAAGGGUGUGUAGGCGGGCUUUUAAGUCAGUGGUGAAAUCUCCGGGCUCAACCCGGAAACUGCCAUUGAUACUAUUAGUCUUGAAUUUUGUUGAGGUAGGCGGAAUAAGUCAUGUAGCGGUGAAAUGCAUAGAUAUGACUUAGAACACCAAUUGCGAAGGCAGCUUGCUAAACAAUAUUGACGCUGAGGCACGAAAGCGUGGGAUCAAACAGG
rnacentral:rRNA from 1 species